rnacentral:rRNA from 1 species
AUACGAAAGGUGCAAGCGAUGUUCGGAUUUACUGGGCGUAAAGAGAGUGUAGGUUGUUUAUUAAGUCGGAUGUGAAAUCCCGGGGCUCAACCUCGGAACUGCAUUCGAUACUGGUAGACUAGAGUUCGGGAGGGGUAAGCGGAAUUCCGUGUGUAGCAGUGAAAUGCGUAGAUAUACGGAGGAACACCUGAGGCGAAGGCGGCUUACUGGACCGAUACUGACACUGAGACUCGAAAGCGUGGGUAGCAAACAGGAUUAGAUACCCGGGUAGUCC